rnacentral:lncRNA from 1 species
AACCGAUGGCAACAAUUAAAAGCUGUAUUCAAUUAGGACUCUAACUUUACAGAAUUAGAAGCUGUGUACAAUUAGAACUUCUAAGACUACUUAGUCCUAUCUUCAUUAUCGGGCCCAUCAGGCUUCAAUGUGACAGGCCUGUCCAACAGCUCUUUGAAUCGAGCCAGUUCUCGUAGGUCAAAUGAUCCCCAUCUGAGCAACAGACCUCCAUUGGAUGCAUUUGGUGCGCUUGUCACGGGCUUUGAACUGCGGUCCGUGACAUUCUCCCCCACCCAUUCUCGCAACGCCCUCGUUGCGACUUUUGAAUGGCACUGACUUGAUUCGCCUCAGUCUCGUCUCGUCGCCUUAGCCUUUCCCUUUCUUUGGGAUUCUUGCCUCGGCUUCUGUCGCUUCUUAACUAGAGCCGUCCUGCUCGUCGCAUUUACUCUGGUUAACUAUCCCACAUGCAUCGCUUCUUUUCCUUUAAAGUCUGAUGCACCACCUACCUUUCCUAUAGGUGGAAGCCUUGUCGAUGACUCGACUAACUCUGAUACUUCACUCAACUUGAGCCUCAUUGGUCCCAGCUUCACUGUUUUCAUCGCAACUUUAUCCGCUAAGUUAGAUGACAAACUCACCUCUUCCUUGGGUGGAAGCCCCUUCGACGACUCACCAAGCUCAGACGUUGCAUUUCUUUCGACUCUGGCUUGCUUUGGACAGUUCCGCAACUCAUGCGGACCACGGCACAAGAAGCACUUAACUUGCUUCUUUUUGCUCCUCUUUGCCCUCUUGGCUUCGGCUUUUCCCUUGUUCGAACCAAGCUUCUUGGGCUCAUUGUCUGCUCCAUCGUUCCCCUCGAUGACAGACUUCUUCAGACACUUCCGCAACCUAUGCGGACCAUGACACAAGAAGCACUCCACUGGCUUCUUCUCGCUUUCAGCCUCCUUGGCUUCGACACCUCUUGCGCUCGAACCAAGUACCAAGGCCUUACCCACCGGCUUCUCCUUAAGUGCAGAUUUCUUCAAACAUUUUUUCAACAUGUGUGGACCGUCGCAGAGAAAGCAUUUUAGUUUGUCCCUUUUCCUCUUGGGUUUCUUCUUCCCAACUCGUGGUUUCCCAUUACCACCAUUGUCGCCGUUGUCAUUGCCAUUAACUCUAUCUUCCUUGUGAUCCAUUUCACAUACGCCCCUUCCAUCGGACUUGGAAGACCCAAGCUUGUCUUUCCCUAGACCAAGCUUCACCACGGACUCAACUACCGUCAUGGCUUCCGACAGUUUUUGGACACCUCUUUGUUCCACCUCCUGUCUGACCCACGGCUUCAAUCCCUUUUGAAAAGCAAGCAAUGCUUCUUCAUCGGUCACAUCUGAAAUUUGGAGCAUGAGUUCCUUGAACUCUUGAACAUACUCCCUCACUGUGCCCCGUUGCAUUAUCUCUUGCAACUUUGCCUGAGCUUCUUCCUCGGCAAAUUCUGGGUAAAACUGUUUCUUCAACUCGCAUUGGAACUCUUGCCACGUCCUAAUCUCACAUUGCCUUUUAUCUGUGGUCCUACCUCGCCACCAUAAAAGCGCAAUGUCAGUAAGAAACAUUGAAGCAGUGUUUACCUUAACCGCAUCCUCCAUGAUGCUUUUGGCACGGAAGUAGUUUUCCAUCCUCCACAAGAAAUUAUCCACAUCACAUGCAGACCUUGUCCCCACAAACUCUUUCGGCUUUGGGACAUCCUCAUUACUGAGUGCUGCAUUUGCCACUCCUUUCCCCACGGCUGCUUGACACAAGGACAGCUCUCCCUCGAGCUCCUCUAUUCUUGUGCUCAAAGCCUUCGUCGUGGCCAUUGUUUCCUCCUUCAAAGCCAUCAUCAUGGCCUCGAGAGCAUCAUUCCUUUCUGACAGCUUAUCCCUGUGUGAAUUAAACAACUCGUUUACCUUGUCCAUGGUGGAAUCAAGAGACAUCUUUACAUAGUCUCUGGACUGCUCCUCCCAGUUUGUUAUGUGAUCCUCGACCCCAUCGAGUGCCUCCUUUACAUCCGCCAUGGAUCCCUCGAGUUUACCCACACGUUCCUCUACUGCUGAUAUUGUCUCCCUCAAAGACUUCCUCGCCCACCUUUGUUCAAACUCUUCUUUCGACAUCCCAACGGUGCCUUUGAACCAACAACUCGAAUAUUACUUGGUUCAAACCUUGGCUCGGAUACCACUUGUCACGGACUUGGAGUUUUCCCACACAUCCGUGUGGCCUUAGGCAGUUUCUUGGCUUAAAAAUGCCUAAGUAAGCCUAACUUCCACCAAUAAUGGAUUCAACCGUAAAAACGCCUAAGUCAGCUCAACUCGUAACAAUAAAGGAUUCAACAGAAUUCCCUUAAAGUUUCCAUGAAGAACAGCGGAAGAACGAAUUAAGAACGAUCUUUGAAAGAUGAACAAAAGCAAGAACGCUUGAGAGAAAAGUUUGAGUAAAUGCUCUCAAUUCUUAUUCACAAAGAAUAAUGAAACAAUUACAGGAGUGAGUACAAAUGAGGGGGAGGCUCUCUAUUUAUAGUUGAGCUCCCCCAAAACCGAUGGCAACAAUUAAAAGCUGUAUUCAAUUAGGACUCUAACUUUACAGAAUUAGAAGCUGUGUACAAUUAGAACUUCUAAGACUACUUAGUCUUAUCUUCAUUAUCGGGCCCAUCAGGCUUCAAUGUGACAGGCCUGUCCAACAGCUCUUUGAAUCGAGCCAGUUCUCGUAGGCCAAAUGAUCCCCAUCUGAGCAACAGACCUCCAUUGGAUGCAUUUGGUGCGCUUGUCACGGGCUUUGAACUGCGGUCUGUGACACU